rnacentral:rRNA from 1 species
AUAAGGACAGAACUCUCUCAUUAGGUUGGAGGUUUUAGGUGUUAGGUUUUAGGGGUGCGAGCUUAUGAAUGGUUCGCUCUCUGACACCUAACACUUAUCACCUAACACCUAGUGCAGGUGGAGAAGUUACAAAAUCAUCAGUUAGUCGAAUCCUGCUGGAAAGCGGAGCCAAAGACGGUGAUAGCCCCGUAGACGAAAACAGAUGAUCUUCUUAGUUUUGUUUCUUGAGUACUUCGAGGUCAAGUAGCCCCGAAGGAAGUUGCGAGUACUAUCUCGUAAGGCUAAAUACUUUUGAUGAUCGAUAGUGAACAAGUACCGUGAGGGAAAGGUGAAAAGCAGGCCGGUGAGGCCGUUGAAAUAGAACCUGAAACCAUUCGCUUACAAGGAACUGACGCCCUAAGUGUGCGUAGCACACAACUGGGAACUUAUAACUUAUAACUUAUGACGGAAUCUGUUAUUGGUUAUUGGUCAUGGGUUAUUAGUUGCGCGCUGCGCGCGCGGGGUUACAGUGUGCCUAUUGAAGAAUGAUCCAACGACUUAUUAUGUAUUGCCCGUCUAACCGAGCUCAGCUCGGGGAGGCACAGGGAAACCGAGUCUGAAUAGGGCGCCGCAUUAUUUACUUCUGCGUAUUUGCGCAGAAGUAAAUAAUUGCACGCAGUACAUAAUAGACCCGAAGCCGGAAGAGCUUGCCUUGGCCAGGAUGAACUCCGCCGAAAGGCGGAGGGAGGUCCGAACCGGUUGAUUGUGCAAAAUCUUCGGAUGAGCCGAGGUAAGGAGUGAAAAGCUAAUCGAUUUCGGUAAUAGCUGGUUCUCUCCGAAAUAUAUUUUCGUAUAGCGCCGUUUCGUAGUCACGGGGGUAGAGCACUGGAUGAUUGGUAAAGGCCGAAAGGCCGACCAAUCAAUCAAACUCCGAAUACCGUGGCGCAAGAGCGGUAGUUAGAACGUGGGGGCUAAGCUCCAUGUUCGCAAGGGAAACAGCCCAGAUCGCAAGCUAAGGUCCCUAAAUGCGUGCUCAGUGUUAAAGGUAGUCAUUUCCCACAGACAGAUAGGAGGUUGGCUUAGAGGUAGCCAUCCUUUAAAGAGUGUGUAACAACUCACUAUUCGACGGGCGAUGGCGCCGAAAAUGUACCGGGGCUCAAGCACGCUACCGAAGCUGCGGAUUCGUUUCGCAUUUAUGCGAGGCGAGUGGUAGGAGAGCAUUCUCUGUGCAGCGAAGGUCGAUCCGCGAGGGCGACUGGAGCGCAGAGAAGAGAAAAUGUUGGAAUGAGUAGCCACAAUCCCAAUGAGAAAUUGGAACCCCAAAAAUCCAAGGUUUCCGUGGCACUGGCAAUCAACCACGGGUUAGGCGGCCCUAAGGCAAUGGUGAAAACCGCAGCCGAUGGACAGCUGGUUAAUAUUCCAGCCCAACCGUGUGCGUUAAGAUGGGGGACGAAGGAGAUAAGGUGGUGUGCCUUAUUGGUUUGGCAUCCGUGGCGCAACGCGCUCCGCAAGGAGCGUACACGCGUAGCGGGAACGUCAGGCAUUUACCUGGCGGACAUUACCGAAGCGCCUUUCAAGAAAAGCCCAUUGUAUUACACAUGGUUUCCGUACCGUAAACCGACACAGGUGGGUGAGGCGAGAAGCCUAAGGGGAACGAGUGACCUGCCGCUAAGGAACUAGGCAAAAAAGCGGCCGUAAGUUCGCAAUAAGGCCUGCCUUCUUGUGCUUCGCACAAGAGAUUUAAGAAUAAUGAGGAUUUAAGAUUUAUGAAUCACUCGUAAAUCCUAAAUCGUACAUCUUGAUUCUCUCGCGCGGAGCGCGAGGAGGCCACAGUGAAAGUAUCUCUGGCGACUGUUUACCAAAAACACAGCUCCCUGCGAACUCGCAAGAGGAUGUAUAGGGGGUGACGCCUGACCGAUGCGAGAAGGUUAAGCUUGGGAGUCAUGCAUCGCACUAAGGUGCGCUGCGGUGUCAGGUAUCACAUGUCAAGUGUCAGGAAACAUUCUUGAUACUUGAUACAUGACGCUUGAUACUGCGCGACGCGCUUUAGCGCGGUGCGUGGCCCACCGAGUGAAGCCCUCGUCAAUGUCAGCGAUAACUAUAAUCGUUCUAAGGUAGCGCAAUUCCUUUUCGGGUAAGUUCCGAAGCGCACGAAAGGCGUAACGACUGGAGAACUGUCUCAGCGGCAUACUCGGCGAAAAUGCGAUUCCCGUGAAGACGCGGGAUACCUGCAGCAAGACGAAAAGACCCCGGAAGCUUUACUGCAGCCUGGUAUUGGCGUUAGGGGUUUACUACGUAGCGUAGUGGGGAGGAUUUGAAGUCCCGCUUUCGGGCGGGAUGGAUCCGACAAUGAAACACCCAUUUUUAAAUCUUUAACGUCUAACCUCGACGGCAAAAACGUCGCGGGACAGUGCUUGGUAGGCAGUUUAAAUGGGGCGUUUUCCUCCCAAAGAGUAACGGAGGAGUUUAUUAAGGUCGGCUUAGCCCGGAUGGAAAUCGGGCAGGACGUGUAAACGCACAAGCCGGCUUGACUGCAAGACCUACAAGUCGCGCAGACGCGAAAGCGGAAGUUAGUGACCCGACCAUUCUUUAUAGAAAGGUGGGAGACAACGGAUAAAAGCUACUCCGGGGAUAACAGGCUGGUUUCGUCCGAGCGUUCCUAGCGACGACGAAGCUCGGCACCUCGAUGUCGGCUCGCCCUAGCGCGGGGGUGGAGAAGCUCCCAAGCGUUUGGCUGUUCGCCAAUUAAAAGGGCACGUGAGCUGGGUUCAGACCGUCGUGAGACAGGUCGGUCUCUAUCUGUUGCAGGCGUAAGAUACUUGAGGGGAGUUGGCCCUAGUAAAGAUUUGCUACUGUUCGAAGUAAUUCGAAUUGCCAACUCGGCUAAUAACGGUGGAAUCUUAUUAUUUUUUUGGUCCGUUGAUAGCCAUAAUCAUACUCGGUCCCUUGAUUAUGGUACAAUUUACUUGAGGACCAGAACAUAGAUAAGACAAUACCGUGGGAAGUCGAUCUAAAAUUGAUCUCGCAUACAUUGCUGGUUUUUUGGACGGAGACGGCAGUCUCAUGCUUC